CCUACGGGGGGCAGCAGUGGGGGAUAUUGCACAAUGGGGGAAACCCUGAUGCAGCGACGCCGCGUGAGUGAAGAAGUAUUUCGGUAUGUAAAGCUCUAUCAGCAGGGAAGAAAAUGACGGUACCUGACUAAGAAGCCCCGGCUAACUACGUGCCAGCAGCCGCGGUAAUACGUAGGGGGCAAGCGUUAUCCGGAUUUACUGGGUGUAAAGGGAGCGUAGACGGUGCAGCAAGUCUGAUGUGAAAGGUCGGGGCCCAACCCCGGGACUGCAUUGGAAACUGUUGAACUGGAGUGCUGGAGAGGUAAGCGGAAUUCCUGGUGUAGCGGUGAAAUGCGUAGAUAUCAGGAGGAACACCGGUGGCGAAGGCGGCUUACUGGACAGUGACUGACGUUGAGGCUCGAAAGCGUGGGGAGCGAACAGGAUUAGAUACCCUGGUAGUC
rnacentral:rRNA from 1 species